CACGUAGGGGGCAAGCGUUGUCCGGAUUUAUUGGGCGUAAAGAGCUCGUAGGCGGCUCGAUAAGUCGGGUGUGAAAUUUCAGGGCUCAACCCUGAAACGCCACCCGAUACUGUCGUGGCUAGAGUCCGGUAGGGGAGCGUGGAAUUCCUAGUGUAGCGGUGAAAUGCGCAGAUAUUAGGAGGAACACCAGCGGCGAAGGCGGCGCUCUGGGCCGGUACUGACGCUGAGGAGCGAAAGCGUGGGGAGCAAA
rnacentral:rRNA from 1 species